GGGGAAUUAGCUCAGCUGGGAGAGCGCUUCAAUGGCAUUGAAGAGGUCAGCGGUUCGAUCCCGCUAUUCUCCA
rnacentral:tRNA from 1 species